UCACCUGCGUCUCUCACAUCAUCAUCAUCACCUUCAUCAUCAGGAUGGCUCAGCUUACUGGAGUUAUUUUCUGCGCAUUCUGCUUAAUCACUCAGGUUUUGUCCCAGAGCACAAACUCCACCGCGUUGGCGGGAAACCAGACCGUUAAUGCAAACGACACGAUGGCGACGGACACGUACGGCGGCCCGGCCAAUGUCACCGCCUCUCCGACCGGCGCCGGGGUCAAAUCGCAGAUCAGCAUGCUCUGCGUGCUCGUGCCCGUGGCCCUGGCGAGCGGCCUCCUGCACCGCUGCUGAGGCGCGUGCCCGGAGCAGCAUCAUCGCACCUCCAUCUUCCUCCACCUCUUUCGGAGCCAGAGAUCUGCCAUUUCUCCCUCUGCACCAACACACUGACACCUGUAGCUUCACCUGCCGCGCGGAUACACACUGGAGCAGCGGUCGGUCCUUCGGUAAAGGCGCGCACAGACGGAUGACGUAACCAACGGCUCCUUCUCACAGAAACACACACAGUUCCCGCCACGCCGAGCCCGAAGAUGGCCGUUAAUAUCGGGCGCAUGCGCAGUGCUCGGAUUCACGACUAGGCCUGAAAACGGGCUCAUUCGGCUUCGUCACGACUUGCAGGUGGAUUUUCAUCUGUGUAUCUUAUUUUUGGCCCACUUUAGUGAUGAAUAAAACUGUUAGUCUUUUAUCAGCAUGAGAUGGACACUUUGUAAUAUUGUUUUUCUCUUGCAUAGUUUAUAUUUUGUACAAAUCGGUAUGUUUUAAUGUUUGUAAGCUGGAAAUACAAGAGUAUACAUGAGAAUAAACGACGUACAACUCGA